GUUUUACAAGAAGUUAAAAAAAGAGAGCAGCUCCUCCUCUUUGCACAUGCUGAAGACUAUGUGGAGUAGGUGCCAUUUCCACCUGAAGAGGGAUUUGGACAUGGAGAGCUAAAAGCUGGGGCCAAGGAUCCCUGGAGCCUACCCUGCAACGAGGGAGCUUAGAGGAGCCGUCCUGCUUUCCUCCUUCACAGCUCCGCUGGGCUGAGUCGUGACUGCAGCACAGAUGAAAGGCUGCUGCCUCUCUGCCUCAUCCCUGCCGAGCGGAAUGUGGCUCGCUGCAGAUAAAUGUUGACUUAUGGUUUGAGCGGCUUAUUAUCUGUCACGGCGCCUUCAAAUGGCAGCCAGAAGCUGUCGCCAUCACAUCACUGCCUGUGUUUUAUAAACCAGGAGACAGAUGUGCAGAGAACUGAAGGUGCUGAGUUGAGAUGACACAGCCGGGAAGCAGGAGACAGGGUCCAAAGCCGAGCUAUAAAUAUGGAUGAAACUUCUCCUGCGGGCCUGCCCCUCUGUUCCUGCUGCACCCCUCAGUUCCUAACAGGUUGCAGGCAGUGCCAGUGACCCAGGGGUUCAGAGCCCUUCCGUAGAGUUGCCUGGACACCCGAGGCUCCUGCAGAACUUUCUCCAUAGCCACGCUGUCCGGCCAGCCUGGAUGCGCAUCACCGGAUGAAUGGGUUCAGGAAGUGUGCUGUGUGUGAGGAGUGAGGUGUUAGCCACCCAUCCAGAAGAACGAAGCCAUGACAUUUGCGGGAAAAGGAAUGAACCUAGAGGACAUCAUGUUCAGAGAAAUAUGCCAGGCCCAAGCGCAAGAUGCCAAGUUCAAUCCCCAGUACCACACGCCCAGCUGGCCCAGAACCUUGGUGUGGUG